rnacentral:rRNA from 1 species
GCUAGGAUGAACGCUAGCUACAGGCUUAACACAUGCAAGUCAGGGGCAGCAUUGGGAUAGCUUGCUAUCCAGAUGGCGACCGGCGCACGGGUGAGUAACGCGUAUCCAACCUUCCCUAUAGUAGAGAAUAGCCCGGCGAAAGUCGGAUUAAUGCUCUAUGUUGUGUUUUGAGGACAUCUGACGAACACCAAAGGUUCACCGCUAUAGGAUGGGGAUGCGUCUGAUUAGCUUGUUGGCGGGGUAACGGCCCACCAAGGCGACGAUCAGUAGGGGUUCUGAGAGGAAGGUCCCCCACAUUGGUACUGAGACACGGACCAAACUCCUACGGGAGGCAGCAGUGAGGAAUAUUGGUCAAUGGGCGAGAGCCUGAACCAGCCAAGUAGCGUGCAGGACGACUGCCCUAUGGGUUGUAAACUGCUUUUAUCAGGGAAUAAAGUGCGGCACGUGUGCCGUUUUGUACGUACCUGAUGAAUAAGGACCGGCUAAUUCCGUGCCAGCCGCCGC